AAUCGGCCUGAAAUACACUAAAGCAAGUUAUUACCAAUUUAUCUUUUAUUCAUUUUACACUUCAAGUUACUCAAACAAUUUUGAUAGGGUAUAAAACACAAUAAUCAAUGUAUGUUACCCAAUUCCUUUGUCUAGGGUUAGGGUCGGUGAACUCAACAAUGUAUAGUUCACUUCUUUAAUCGAAUGAAAUUCGCAGAAAAAAGACGAAUACUUGCUUUGUGAAGCUCGCAUGUAAGCAGUGAUGUAUUGUUAAAACAAAGUUAAUUCUGUUAUUGAAAAAUAAGUCAUAUCAUAAAAUACUUACGAAAAAUGAAGGAUUUUUUCUUAUGUUAGAUAUAUUCUAUAAAUCAGUCAUCUAGCUAAACUCUUGACGGUUUUUUCAAAGCUUUUUUUUAUAAAAAAAUAGUCUUA